rnacentral:rRNA from 1 species
UUAUGGCACUUUUUUAAAUCCAUAUCCACCUUGUGUGCAAUGUCAGGGUUGGUUUCUCUCUUUUGAGAGAUCAACCCCAAACAUCAACUCUAUCUUAACUCUUUGUCUGAAAAAUAUUAUGAAUAAAACAAUUCAAAAUACAACUUUCAACAACGGAUCUCUUGGCUCUCGCAUCGAUGAAGAACGCAGCGAAAUGCGAUACGUAAUGUGAAUUGCAGAAUUCAGUGAAUCAUCGAAUCUUUGAACGCAUAUUGCGCUCUUUGGUAUUCCGAAGAGCAUGCUUGUUUGAGUAUCAGUAAACACCUCAAAGCCUUUUUUCUUUUUUGAAGAAAGGCUUUGGACUUGAGCAAUCCCAACACCAAUCUUUUAAAGAGAGGGGGCGGGUUGCUUGAAAUGCAGGUGCAGCUGGACAUUCUCCUGAGCUAAAAGCAUAUUCAUUUAGUCCCGUCAAACGGAUUAUUACUUUUGCUGCAGCUAAUAUAAAGGGAGUUUGACCAUUUUGGCUGACUGAUGCAGGAUUUUCACAAGAGUCUUCAAAACCUCUUGUUAAACUCGAUCUCAAAUCAAGUAAG